rnacentral:lncRNA from 1 species
GCCGUGCCCGCUUUGCUCGAGUCUUGGCUGGGGCACUGCCGUGCCCUCAGAUAUAGUUAGCAAUAGUACAACACACACGACCUAUACAAAGUCAGUCAGGAUAUUCCAGUAAAAACAUCCUACAAAAAAUCGGGCCGAUUAUCUUCGCUACAAAAAGUGUGACGUGGACGGGCAGUCUGAACCACGGAUAGCGGCAAGUACAUGGCAGGGUAAUCCGUGUACAUCGAGACAUGCACGAGCAGUGUUGCCUGGCAGGCACGUUGCUCACACAGAUCCGUGCGUCACGUACAGACACAUUGGUUCCAGACUGGACAGCGACUAUCGUCACGGCUGCGGUAACAUCGGCGGCGGUGUUGCUGCUGGCGCUCAUCACAGUGGCCUGCAUACGUCUCUGUCGCGCGCGAACUCCCGGUCAGCCAGCUUCAGACCGCUUUUGGAAUCGAUUCUACGUGAACAACUUGAUGCGAGAUGAAUGCAAUGCGGAGAUACGCGAGCGCGAGCGACGCGAUGCGGAGAUACGCGAGGGCGAGCGACGCGAUUCAGAGCCGGAAUAUGAUUACGUGUACGACCACCGAUACACCCCUCGUACACAAAGAACUCGCUGAAUAUUGUUACACUCGGCAUCAAACCAACAGUUUUGUGUGCAGUGCAGUGCCGAGCUCAGCUCACUGCGCCCACUGCUCAACAAUCCUUUCUCAUCUAGGAAUUAUGUACCUACAGGGGAAACGCCUUCUUUGCUAAGAGAGAUUCAAACUUGGCUACAAAACAGCAGUUUUCGAACGUCAGAAGCUUCCACAAACUGCCCCUUGAGUUGAUCUUUUUGUACAUCCGCUAGCACGACAGCACGACAAGACAAAUACCUACCUACUAGCGAAACUAUUUUUAAUUUAUGUUUUAAUUUCAAUUAUCGUAGUAGUAACAGUUUCAUAGUAUCAUUUCGUAGUAUUAGGUAAUAUGUCAUAGUACUAACAUUUUGAUGAUUUAUAUUAGGCCGGGCCGUGUCCGGGGCGUGCCGUGUACGUGGCUCGUACGGGGCACGGAUGUGAAACGUUGCAUAUGUUAUGGACCAUGUGAUUAAUUCGGGCAUUAUUUAUAAUGCCCGAGCAUUAUGAAUAAUGUCUAGCUUUAUCGGGCCAAGUGAUUAAUAACUAUCUUAACUUCAUUAUUUAUCACAUUGCACGGGCAUUAUUAUAUUGCUACAUGAUAGUUGGGCAAUUUGAUAAUAAAGCUAUAUUUUUAAAUAUUUUAUGCGGUGCGAGGGUGGCAGUUGUUCUAAUAAAUAAAUCCAGUUCCUUGCUACAUAUUUUAUGAUUAUUGUUUUAAAUUAUAUGUUCUAUUUUAAUGGGAAAUUAUAAGUCUAGCCAUAAAAUGAUCUAUCCACAAAAUAUCUAUCCAAAUGAUCAAUUUUCAUCUAAUUUACUAACUCGGCCUCGUUUUUCUUGAUCUCAUUUUUCUUGGCUCGUUUUUUUAUGGUAGAAUUUAAUUUGGAUUCAAAACAUUGUAUUAAAAACUGAACUUAGUGACGAAAACGAAUCGCUGCAAAACCGACUUCACGUAGUCUUGUCUGCCCUACCCCUAGAGUGCAAUUCAAAACCGCGUAGGCACGGAGGGGCGAGGCGGCCUGCGAGCAGAGGCGCAGGUAGUUGAAGCGCUCGCCGCCGCGGCUGAGGCUGGCCGGCUCAGCCGGCCAGCAAGCCGAAGCUGCGGUGGUGAGCGUGAAAACCAUCUGCGACGAUAAGCUCGCAUGGGACCGCCGGAGCCCCGCAGCGCCGGAGCCGUGACAGAAGCCAUGCUUGCUGCAUGUUGCAUGCUUACUUCUAUGCUCUGUCAAUUGAUAUGGGAUGUGUUAUAUUUAGUUUAUUUUAAGUUAAAUGUCAAUAACAAUAAAAAAAAUGAAAUUAAAUAUGUUUGUAUUACUUUGCCCAAAAGGUCACGGGCAAUAUGUAUAGUGCCCGGUCAAUUUGAUUAUUUGAAUAAUUAUUAUCAAAUCGCACUCUCAUAUUGGGCAUUAUUCAUAAUGACCGGGCAUUAUGUAUACUGCCCAAUUUAUCACUUGGUCCAUAACACAUACAUUUUGCAUGAAGCAGUUUAUAUACACAGUGCAUGAUCCGUGGCUCGUCCGGGCCACAAACGACGCUCGUUUUUAGAAUUUCGUAAAAGCCCGGACACGGCACGGCCCGGCCUAAUAUAAAUCAACCCUUAACAUUUCAUAGCAUCAUUUCGUAGUUUAAUAUAUCAUAGUGCUAACAUUGUAUCGUACUAUUACAUUGUGGAUGAAAAUGAGUAUUUUCAUAUGCGAACAUAGUUUAGUAAGUAAGGAUAUAAAGUCCUAUGACAACAAUGACAAGAUUACUAACAAUCUUUAAUAUUAUUUGUUACCUAUUGUAAUUAGUCUGUAAGCCUUCUUUAAAACUAAUAAAUACUUAAACUAAGACGCUCCCAUUUAGAUCGCGCAAUACCUAGGUAGGUAUAUAUCGUUUUGUGAACAUUCAUAUUGAAGAAAGGUAGGCCAAUGAGUCUUAGCGAAUAUUGUAAUUGUACGUUAUGGUUAUUGUAAUAUUGCACAAUGUUAUUGCAGGGCUAGGGCUCGCCUUAUAUACUUAGUUAACGGCACGGAUAUAGAGCCCUGACCUUCACCUGCGCAGAAGCAAUUUAUUGUUUUUUUGCCCGUGUACAGUGCGCAAAGCGAUCCCCACUCUUCCACCGAGAGCUCAAUAUCCGUGCCGAUAAUACGCGAUUCGUUCUACUCUAAACAUAAUAUAAUCGUGUAGAAUCAGUGCAUUUUUAUACGAACUAACGAACAGCAAUGCAUUUUUAAAUAUUAUGUUUAAGAUUAUGUGCUUUGAAUAAGAUUUUUUACUAAAAUUAACAAUAUGUACUUAUUACAAUCACGGAUCGAGUUACACCAUUAAUAAGAAAGUAAUAACCGAGCACUAUGAAUGGUUUACACUUGUUAAUUAAGUAUAGUAUUACUCCUAUUCACAUUAACAGUAUAAUCUUUACUUCUAUACUUAUAUAAUAAAGACGUACUUACCUAACA